UACGUAGGGUGCAAGCGUUAAUCGGAAUUACUGGGCGUAAAGCGUGCGCAGGCGGUGAUGUAAGACAGUUGUGAAAUCCCCGGGCUCAACCUGGGAACAGCGCUUGAGACUGGCACGCUCGAGUUCGGGAGAGGAUGGUGGAAUUCCCAGUGUAGAGGUGAAAUUCGUAGAUAUUGGGAAGAACACCGAUGGCGAAGGCAGCCAUCUGGACCGACACUGACGCUGAGGCGCGAAAGCGUGGGGAGCAAACAGG
rnacentral:rRNA from 1 species